rnacentral:misc_RNA from 1 species
AUGAAGAACGUAGCGAAAUGCGAUAAGUAAUGUGAAUUGCAGAAUUCAGUGAAUCAUCGAAUCUUUGAACGCACCUUGCGCUCCUUGGUAUUCCGAGGAGCAUGCCUGUUUGAGUGUCAUUAAAUUCUCAACCAUUAUCAACUUUUGCUGAUAAUGGCUUGGAUGUGGGGGUCUAUUUUGCUGGCUUCUCAGAUAGUCAGCUCCCCUUAAAUGCAUUAGCCGGUGCCCCGCGUGGACUGUCUAUUGGUGUGAUAAUUAUCUACGCUAUAGACAUCUGCAAUCAUAUGGGUUUGCGCUGCUUCUAACAGUCUGUUGAUUCAGACAAUACAUGACAAUUUGACCUCAAAUCAGGUAGGACUACCCGCUGAACUUAAGCAUAUCAAUAAGCGGAGGA